GGUUCUUCCACUCUGUAAAACAGCAAGAAGUCGGCGAGAAAACCGUCGGCUGCCGCGAGAUCGUGGGUGGGGCGAAAGAGCUGACUUUCCUUUAACGACGGCCGGCGAAAGAGGGUGGACGAUGGACGAACAUGAGAUCUGUUCUUCGGCUUCGUGAGACGAGUUCUAUGAAGAUCUUGCAUCAGGCUAUCUCCGACGGCACCACCAUCGAAACAGUUGAGUCCACCUUAUAAACCACCAUCGAAACAAAUGUCAAAUAAGCCGGAAGAACACAUCUCAUAUUCGUACAUCGUCCACCCGGAGUUCUUCUGCCGGUAGUCGUUGAAGGAAAGGCUGCUCUUUCACCGAACCACCAUCUCACGCCUGGCGACGGUUUUGUUGACUAGUUCUUGCUUUUUGUCCAGAGUCUAAGAACCGGUGCCGGCCUUUCGAUCCACGCGCGAGUUGGGCUUGCGCUCCGCAAAGAAGUAUCCCUCGGUCCUGUAAACGUCAGCGAAGGCGACUACCGAUGACGGUAGUCGACCACGAGUUCCUCCGCCGUGGGAAGGAACACGGUUGUUUUUUGAAGAGGAGAUGUUUCUUGAAGCGGAGAGGAGAGGAAAUGAACGAGGGGAGGAGAAGGGAGCAGAGAGGCGAGGGGCGAGAAGACAAAGUGCCUUCUUUGAAUCCCAUCGCCCCGUUCGGUCUUGCUCGACUCAGAAACAAAGGUUCGAGGAUCUUGAAGAUGGAGGUAUCUGCGCUGGUGUUGGCUUGUGGCAUGAGGGUGGGAGCUGAUGGAAGGUACAAGAUUUGGUGUUGUAUUGGCAAUCCGUUGGCAUUGCAUUCGGCAGCAUGCUUCCGAGGCCAAGUGCUUCACAGUGCCGUCUUCAGCAGAGGGCUGGAGCUGAUGGAACCAAUAAUAGGUCCCUGUAUGUCAUCAAGGUCGGACCUGUCCACAAUGCCAAGUGAUUUCUUUUCGAUUCUUACCAUACCAUCGCUUUGAAGUUUCUCUAAACUAAAGAUCCGGAAGUACACUGUCAAGCUUGGGUAGCUUCUUAGCAUAUACUUCGAGACUGAGUAGCGAUAUUAUCAGACAAAUAGGAUGGAUGGAUCACAGCAACACUCAUCAAUAUGAAAAGAGGCAAAAUCAUCACAAAAACCAUAAGAACAUAGUGCUGCAACACCCAUAUAGCCGAAUACUUACAAGCAGACAGCUAGAGUGGCCCUCUGUGCAUCGUCACUGUAGUGCCAGAUUUAUUUUGCUGGAGCGUUGUUAGGAACUAUCUUAUUAAGUAAAUGUUUUUAUUUCUUUAGAUUAUCAGUUAUCGAAUUCAUCAUGGCAAAUCAGAGUUUUGCAUUCACUAUCUCCCUCACCUCGCAACAUGGAACUUGUGAUUCGUUUAACAUUUCAUUCAGUGAUGUACUUCCAUGUGAUGACAUGAAUUUAUGCAUCUUCUUUCAGGUUGAGAGAUCAUUUGACUUA